rnacentral:rRNA from 1 species
AACGAACGCUGGCGGCAUGCCUAACACAUGCAAGUCGAACGAGACCUUCGUGUCUAGUGGCGCACGGGUGCGUAACGCGUGGGAACCUGCCCUUAGGUUCGGAAUAACUCCCCGAAAGGGGUGCUAAUACCGGAUAAUGUCUUCGGACCAAAGAUUUAUCGCCUUUGGAUGGGCCCGCGUUGGAUUAGCUAGUUGGUAGGGUAAAAGCCUACCAAGGCGACGAUCCAUAGCUGGUCUGAGAGGAUGAUCAGCCACACUGGGACUGAGACACGGCCCAGACUCCUACGGGAGGCAGCAGUGGGGAAUAUUGGACAAUGGGCGAAAGCCUGAUACAGCAAUGCCGCGUGAGUGAUGAAGGCCUUAGGGUUGUAAAGCUCUUUUACCCGGGAUGAUAAUGACAGUACCGGGAGAAUAAGCUCCGGCUAACUACGUG